CCCUUAGAUGUUCUGGGCCGCACGCGCGCUACACUGAUACAUUCAACGAGUCUAAAACCUGGUCUGAUAGGGCUGGGUAAUCUUUUGAAAGUGCAUCGUGAUUGGGAUAGAUGAUUGCAGUUCUUCAUCUUCAACGAGGAAUGCCUAGUAAACGCAAGUCAUCAGCUUGCAUUGAUUACGUCCCUGCCCUUUGUACACACCGCCCGUCGCUCCUACCGAUUGAAUGAUCCGAUGAAUACCAUGGAUUGAGAGUACGAAUGGGUUCGCUCAUUUCUGCUGCUCGAGAAGUGGAGUAAAUCUUAUCAUUUAGAGGAAGGAGAAGUCGUAACA
rnacentral:rRNA from 1 species